rnacentral:sRNA from 1 species
CCCGUAGCAGCUGCCCUGGGGCAGCUACCCCGCAGCGGGGGGGCGCCCGCCCCGCAGCACGCCAACAGGCCUGCCGGAGGACCCCUAAACUCUGUUUUACACCUGUAUCUCUGAGGCUAUGAUGGAAAUAAGUUAAAACUUUCAACAACGGAUCUCUUGGCUCUGGCAUCGAUGAAGAACGCAGCGAAAUGCGAUAAGUAAUGUGAAUUGCAGAAUUCAGUGAAUCAUCGAAUCUUUGAACGCACAUUGCGCCUGACAGUAUUCUGUUAGGCAUGCCUGUUCGAGCGUCAUUUCAACCCUCAAGCCCUAUUUGCUUGACGUUGGGAGUUUACGGAGACGUAAUUCCUUAAAUAUAGUGGCGGAGCCGGGUCGUGCUCUGGGCGUAGUAACCAAACUCUCGCCUCUGUAGCCGGCUCGGGUCUUGCCGUAAAACCCCCUAUAUUCUUCUGGUUGACCUCGGAUCAGGUAGGAAUACCCGCUGAACUUAAGCAUAUCAUAACCCGGAGGAAAUCCUUAGGGAGUUGAUUACAAGCUCAAACCAUGUG